rnacentral:sRNA from 1 species
UAUCGUAAAGAUGAUUUAAAAAUAUAUGAUAUUAUUUUAUUUGAUUUUAAAUGUAUAGUAAACUGUGAGUUGUAUAUGUUUUGUUGAUAUUAUCUAUAUUGUUUAGUGUUUAAGAUUAUACACUUGUAGUUUGAUUGUUAAUUUAAGAGUUUCACCUGUAGUAUACCAUCUUGUAUUAAUAUCGAUCUAAACCCGUCAAUUUUAGGAUUUUUCAGCUUGUAUUAAAAACUGAAUCACAUCAUACACAUAAAAAAAUCUAAUAUGUUAUUAAUUAUUGUAGUAUAUAAGAUUAUAAAUUUUCAAUAUAAUAUGUAUGAAAUUAAAUAUAAAUAUUUCAAAUUAUGACCCGUUACUCAGUAGAAAUAUAAGUUUUCUUAAAUAUAUUUUUCACCCGUUAUAAUAUUUUUUCAUGUAUUGAACAGUUUAUAUUUGUUUUUAAAAAUUAUAAUUAUGGCAUAUGCGAAAAAACUCUAAUUAUUUUUUUAUAAUGAUGAUAUUAUUUUUUCGCAAAAAUAGAAUCAUAUAAAGAUGAGAAGUGAAUUAUAAUAAUUAAUAAAAAAUUAAUAUGAUAAUUUAGAUAUCAAAUCUAAUUUGUUGAUUUUAAUUGGUUACUUUUUUGGAAAUUAAUAAUGUAUUUCAUUUUUCUAAUUAAAUCAAAUUAAUUAAAAUUUAGAUAUCAAAU